rnacentral:rRNA from 1 species
UUAAAUGGCCGCAGUACUUUGACUGUGCUAAGGUAGCAUAAUCAAUUGUCUUUUAAUUGAGGACUAGAAUGAAUGAAUCUAUGGUUAAAUUCUUUAUUUAUAUAUUUUAUUAAAAUUUAUUUAUUAGGUGAAAAUCCCUAAUUAAUUUUAUUAGACGAGAAGACCCCAGGAAUUUGAUCUUUUUUUUAUUGGGGCGAUAUCUAAACAGUCUAAACUUUAGAUUAUAUAUAAACGAUUUUUAUAAUUUUAAAUAAAUUACCCUGGGGAUAACAGCAUAAUUUUUUAUAAAGAUUGUGACCUCGAUGUUGGAUUAGAAAAAAAUUUUUACUUAAAGAGUAAUUUUUUAUGUUCUGUUCGAACAAUAAUAAAUUUUCCUACGUGAUCUGAGUUCAGACCGG